CUGAUCAGAUACAACAUGGUCAUCUUUGGUUGUAUAGAUGGCUACUCACGCAAGAUAAUGUACUUGAAGGCUGCAGACAACAACCGGUCUGACACCAACCUAGCCUUCUUUUGCCAUGCUGUGGAGGAAUUUGGCUGCCCACUUGGAGUACGAACAGAUCAUGGAGGGGAAAAUGUUGGCAUUGCUCGUUGGAUGUUCACCUUGCGUG